rnacentral:rRNA from 1 species
UACGGAGGGCGCAAGCGUUGUUCGGAAUCAUUGGGCGUAAAGCGCGUGUAGGCGGCCAAUUAAGUCGGAUGUGAAAGCCCGGGGCCCAACCCCGGAACUGCAUUCGAUACUGAUUGGCUGGAGUCCCGGAGAGGAAGGCGGAAUUCCCGGUGUAGAGGUGAAAUUCGUAGAUAUCGGGAGGAACAUCAGUGGCGCAGGCGGCCUUCUGGACGGUGACUGACGCUGAGACGCGAAAGCGUGGGGAGCAAACAGG